GACGAACGCUGGCGGCGUGCCUAAUACAUGCAGGUGAACCGCUAAGGGGGGAAGCUGGCUCUCCUGGGUGGGGUGGGAACGGGGGAGUUACGGGGAGGGUAACCUGCCUGGAGGCGGGGGAUAACUAUGGGAAACAAAGGCAAAUACCGAAUAACAAUGGAUACCACAGUUCUUUUAUUUGAAGGGGGCAAUUGCCCAACACAAGGAGGGACCUGCGUUGUAUUGGCUAGUAGGUGAGGUAAUGGCUCACCUAGGCGACGAUACAUAGCCGACCUGAGAGGGUGAUCGGCCACACUGGGACUGAGACACGGCCCAGACUCCUACGGGAGGCAGCAGUAGGGAAUCUUCGGCAAUGGGGGCAACCCUGACCGAGCAACGCCGCGUGAGUGAAGAAGGUUUUCGGAUCGUAAAGCUCUGUUGUAAGUCAAGAACGGGUGUGAGAGUGGAAAGUUCACACUGUGACGGUAGCUUACCAGAAAGGGACGGCUAACUACGUG
rnacentral:rRNA from 1 species